rnacentral:rRNA from 1 species
AUUGAACGCUGGCGGCAGGCCUAACACAUGCAAGUCGAGCGAGCGGCGGACGGGUGAGCAAUGCCUAGGAAUCUGCCUGAUGGAGGGGGAUAACUACUGGAAACGGUCGCUAAUACCGCAUACCAUCUGCUGUGCCAAGAUGGGAUUAGCUAGUAGGUGGGGUAGCGGCUCACCUAGGCGACGAACCCUAGCUGGUCUGAGCGGUUGACCAGCCACACUGGAACUGGGACACGGUCCAGACUCCUACGGGAGGCAGCAGUGGGGAAGAUUGCAAAAUGGGCGCAAGCCUGAUGCAGCCAUGCCGCGUGUGUGAAGAAGGCCUUCGGGUUGUAAAGCACUUUCAGCGGGGAGGCGUUACCCGCAGAAGAAGCACCGGCUAACUCCGUGCCAGCAGCCGCGGUAAUAC